rnacentral:rRNA from 1 species
GGUUGCAAUCGCCUUGUCAAUAGUUCUUACAACAUGGAAUUCAUUGAUACUAUGAAGAAUGGAGGACGUUCAGCAGGAGCGGCGGCGGCAGUUUUUGACGAUUGUUAUGUUUUUUCCUGUGAUUUUUCUCUCACUAGUUUUGAGCAUCGUAACAGGGAAGUGAACAAGGUAGCUCAUGAACUUGCUAGGUUAGCUAGAUUUUCUAAGACAAGGGUAUGGUUUGAGAAGCCUUUGGUCGAAAUUGUACAACCUCCAAUAGACGAUGUAACUGUUAUUUCUAAUUAA